rnacentral:rRNA from 1 species
CCCUUGUACACACCGCCCGUCACACCAUGGGAGUGGGUUGCACCAGAAGUAGCUAGUCUAACCUUCGGGGGGACGGUUACCACGGUGUGAUUCAUGACUGGGGGUG